UCCUCGCGCCAGGACGUCGGCAACCGAAGCUCCGCCGCGACCAAACCACAUCUCCGGCCAUCUCAGGUAGUACCGCGGCGCUCCUCUCACAUCUUCGCCAGAGCCUUGCCACGCGCCGCCGCUACCCUCGUCGGUUACCAGGUAUUAACUAACCCUUCCUCUUAUAUCUGUAUUUAGGUUAUGAGAGCUUCCGUAGUUCGUCGGAGUUCAUCUCCAUUGCUCUGCUAUCUGCCUUGUAAAUCUUCCUUUUUCCCAAUACAUUCAUAGAAGAAUUCGGCUUCGCCUUUGAGAUUCAUCCCCUCUAUAGAUGUUCUGCUUUGUCAAUAUAGCUCAUGAACUAGCAAGCAACCUAUGCCGCCCUAGUCUUUUUAGCUAGGUAAUUUUUCUUCUUUUUCAAACUAUUCGUAGAUCUGAAAUCUUUUACACUUGUAAUGAAAUAUGUUGUUCCACACUUAGUAAUAGCUUCAAUAAAUUUCUACUUAGAUGACCCGCCAUCAUGUUGCUGGCUCAUACUUCCAUAAUUUGACCUGCCGUAUGUUAACGGCCUGAUAAUCACCUCACGCCCAUAGUUAGGGCGGCUCAUAACUUCUUAAUAACUUACCAUAACACGUUGUCGUCUUAUAGCCAUAACCGGUCCAUUACUGCUAAAAUAUCAUGUAAUCAUUUAGGUGGCUUAUCAUUUCAAUUUUAACCCGCCAUACUCUUAUUCCUUGUCCGUAGUUUUUAACCCGGCCCAUCAUGUCUAAGGCUCCCACUUCUUGUGACUGGGUAGCCUCCCAAGUCUCAGAGCUCAUGCUCACAGAGUAUGUGGACAUGGGGGUUUUGCCGGCUAAAAAAGCUAUCAACUGGCGGGUUCCUGGUCCUGAGACUAUUCCUCAACAAGGCUAGCGUAGAUACAACAACAGUAAAUUUAAAUGACUUUAUUCACAGGCUACCAAAAAAAUAAUCAGUUGUCAGUUAUAGACGUGUGGUGCCACAUGAUAACUGAGCGCUUAUAAAUGCCUGAAUAUUACACGCCCAAUAAACCAUAUAAUGAUCAUUAGCCUGACCUCUCACACAUCAUUCUUUUAUAAAUAUAGAACAUUUCCAUAACAUGUUAAAAAUAUUAACCAAUUAGUUUCAAAAGGUACCUACAUUCUCAGUUCAUGCAAGAAUAUCCAAUAUACAUCCAAAUUCUGGGAAUAUGUAUCAAAAAGUAAAAUGUUGCGGCAAAUCAAAUACACUACGAUGGUACCUAUUCCCAAAUAUAAAUUCAGCCAAACCAACGCCAAGACAACCCACUAAAUUCACCAAUAUGAGACGCGCAUCCGUUUUUUCAGAUCAGCUAAGGGCGAGUUUGGUUGCCUGCAUCGAGGCCAACCAGGCCCGCGUGGUGCAGCAUCUUUUCGGGUCUCGGUUGUUUGGUUCCCCGCAUACACUGUUCAGCCUGCAUAGCACGGUUCUUAAAGCAUUUCUGGGCCUGGCCCGUUGGGAACGGCCGAAUCGGCAGUUUUCCGAGAGCCAGGCCCGAGCGAGUUAAUCCCUCUCUCUCCCUAAUCCUCAGUCCCCUCGUCCGCCGCUAAAAUCUUAUCCCCUCGUCACCUUCCUCCUCUCACCCGCGGCGCACCGGUCCGGGCACGGAGCUUGGUGCGGCCACGGCAGCGAGCUGGGCGCCGGUUGACGGCGGAAGCGCGAGCCGGUGUGGGGCGGCCAUGGCAGCAAGCGGGCGCGGUGCGGUCACGACAGCGAGCGGGCGCGGCGCGACCACAGGAGGGAGCCGGGCAAGGGCACGGCCAGGGCAGUGAGCUUGGCGCGGCCACGGCAACGAGCUGGGCGCGGCGCGGCGGACGACGGAGGCUCGGGCCGGUGCGUCGCGGGCGCGGCCUCGGCCAGGGAAGGGAGCUUGGCGCGGCCACGACAGGGAGCGGGCACGGCCCGACCAUGAUAGCGAGCUGGACGCGGCACGGCUACGGCGGGAACCUGCUCGCGGAGCGGCCAAGAGCAGGGCAGCGGCGGGCCGGCGCGGCUUGGCGCGAGCUGGGGCGGCACGGGCGAGUGCAGCGAGGACUGACGCGGACGAGCUCGCCGGCCGCAGCUUGAGGCUCCUGCCCGUGUGUGUACGAGUACCUGCGCGACCUGUUUAGGUAUUCGAUGGCCAGUACAAGCCUACAAGCGCCGGCGUCGGGCGAGCUUGUACUUCUGAAUUUUACACGAUGAGUACUUCAUGCCGACCAUCACACUCAGCUUCGAGGGCGGGGCGAGCCUGGAGCUCAGCUUCGUGCCGCGGGAUGCCGAGCUUGGCGGCGGCGAUGGCGGCCCAUGGGUGGACACCGUCGAACACAGACGGCGUCAGCGGGGUGGCGGCGCAGGAGGUCGGCGAAGAGCGGCGCGAGGAGGUUGACGGGGGCGGCGAACGGGCUCCGUGGGCGACGCGAGGAGCAGAGGAAGCUCCGGCGCACUCAACGUGUUUGACGAGAUGAGAAGCCAAACCUGGUGGCUGUUAAGUUUUGUUGUUAACUCCUAAUCAUAUGCAUGUAUGCAACCAAACGCCGGGUCAAAAUUGCAUCUCAAUGACAAGACCUCCUAAUGCAGGCAACCAAUCAAGUUGACAUCUA